rnacentral:lncRNA from 1 species
CUGCCCAGACUCCGCCAUGCUCUCAGAAGAGUGUUAAUGCUGGGCAUGAGACAUGGAGUGAGGUGACUCUGGCUAGGAUCAGAAGGAUAAGCCAGCCUUCACGCGGGGCCUCCAUGCCUCUGCCCCCACUGGCCCAGAGAAUCACUAGUGCAAGCCAGCCUUCACGUGGGGCCUCCGUGCCCCUGCCCCACUGGCCCAGAGAAUCACUAGUGCAUGCUCAGUGGGAAGCAGGAAUCCAGGUAAUAACAAGCCUGCUCAAGAACUCGUCUUUCAUCUCAGCAUCGCAGCACACUUAGAAAUAUUAACAGCUUAAUAUGAGUCUAUGGGACGAGAGGCAUUCAAAGACACCGGGUAGCUCAGGUGUCUCGGAUUCCCCAUAUGGGAAUGGGACUUAAUAGCUAGCAUGACAGCCUGCAGGACAGCUAUCAUUAACCCUUGCCACACAUGCAGUAGAGGGCACCACUGCCUACUCCCUGCCCCAGGGGGGAAUCCCAGAGCCUGGAUGACCUGCAAAGGAUGGGGUACAGGAGACUCGGGUCACAAGGAUGGGCUCAUCAGCUGCUGGGGAGAUGACUGGGAUAAUGGCUGCAACAGAAGGCAAAGCACACACACCCAUGCGGUCCGUGAGAGUGUCCUGAGGCAGGAGUAUGACUGACUGACAAAGAGGCAUUUGUCUAGAACAGAAAUGAAAUGUCGAGCUGACGGGUCCAGAUCUCUGGGAACAGAUGCUAGAAGACAUGGAGGAUGGCACAGGCGCCACGUCAGUCACUCUGAGGACCCACUCGGAAGCAAAGGAGCACCUGACUGAGGAUUUCAGCUAUGUGAGGAGAGGGUGAAAGCAAGUAUAUAGCUCGCACACAAACACACACACACAUACACACAUACCACAUGCAUAUACAGUACACACAUGCAUACACAGCACACACACAUACCAUAUACAUACACAUGUAACACAAACUCACAUACACAUGCAAUGCUCGCACACACAGACACACUUAUACACACAAAGGCACACACAUGCAUAUACGUACACAUAUGCCUAUACAAAUUCUCUCUCUCUCUGUCUCUCUCUGUCUCUCUGUCUCUCUCUGUCUCUCUGUCUCUCUGUCUCUCUGUCUCUCUCUCUCUCUCUCUCUCUCUCUCUCUCUCUCUCCUGUAAACUUAACUGAGAGCAUCUGCCCAGAUCAUUUCAGUAUGGACUCACUCAGAGCCCCAGGAGGAGGGAGACCUACUUGGGUCAGCUUACUGUGAACUCACAGAGAGGCAGGGCCUGGACUAACUGGAAGGGACACCAGAGCAGCAAGCAAGAAGAAAGGGCAAUCAAACAAAUACCUGGGCCCACAUUUCCACCUGAGGGUGACCCCAGAGGAGAGGGUUAGCUGCCUAGAGAAGGCUCACCAUCCGCACUCCUG